CCUACGGGAGGCAGCAGUGGGGAAUAUUGGGCAAUGGGCGCAAGCCUGACCCAGCAACGCCGCGUGAAGGAAUAAGGCUCUCGGGUUGUAAACUUCUUUUAUCAGGGACGAAGCAAGUGACGGUACCUGCUGAAUAAGCCACGGCUAACUACGUUCCAGCAGCCGCGGGAAUACGUAGGUGGCAAGCGUUAUUCGGAUUUACUGGGUGUAAAGGGCGUGUAGGCGGGAGUGCAAGUCAGAUGUGAAAACGAUGGGCUCAACCCAUAGCCUGCAUUUGAAACUGGACUUCUUGAGUGCUGGAGAGGCAAUCGGAAGUCCGGGGGUAGCGGUGAAAUGCGUAGAUAUAGGGAGGAACACCAGUGGCGAAGGCGGAUUGCUGGACAGUAACUGACGCUGAGGCGCGAAAGCGUGGGGAGCGAACAGGAUUAGAUACCCGUGUAGUC
rnacentral:rRNA from 1 species